rnacentral:miRNA from 1 species
UGCUGGAUUGAGUCAUAUACUU